UCUACGGGUGGCAGCAGUGGGGAAUAUUGGACAAUGGGCGAAAGCCUGAUCCAGCCAUGCCGCGUGUGUGAAGAAGGCCUUCGGGUUGUAAAGCACUUUCAGUGGGGAAGAAAGCCUUGGGGCUAAUACCCUCGAGGAAGGACAUCACCCACAGAAGAAGCACCGGCUAACUCCGUGCCAGCAGCCGCGGUAAUACGGAGGGUGCGAGCGUUAAUCGGAAUUACUGGGCGUAAAGCGCGCGUAGGCGGUCUGAUAAGCCGGUUGUGAAAGCCCCGGGCUCAACCUGGGAACGGCAUCCGGAACUGUCAGGCUAGAGUGCAGGAGAGGAAGGUAGAAUUCCCGGUGUAGCGGUGAAAUGCGUAGAGAUCGGGAGGAAUACCAGUGGCGAAGGCGGCCUUCUGGACUGACACUGACGCUGAGGUGCGAAAGCGUGGGUAGCAAACAGGAUUAGAUACCCGUGUGUC
rnacentral:rRNA from 1 species